GGCUCACUAGCUCAACAGGUAGAGCAGCUGACUCUUAAUCAGCGGGUUCGGGGUUCGAGUCCCCGGUGAGUCA
rnacentral:tRNA from 2 species